GUUGGUGAACCAGCGGAGGGAUCAUUACAGAGUUGCAAAACUCCCAAACCAUUGUGAACUUACCUACCCCGUUGCUUCGGGGGGCGCCGGGCGCGGGUAAAACAAACCCUUGAAUUGCAUGGCCUCUCUGAGUCUUCUGUACUGAAUAAGUCAAAACUUUCAACAACGGAUCUCUUGGUUCUG
rnacentral:misc_RNA from 1 species